AGAGUUUGAUCAUGGCUCAGGACGAACGCUGGCGGUGUGCUUCACACAUGCAAGUCGAACGGGGUAGCAAUACCCAGUGGCGGACGGGUGAGUAACGCGUAGAAAUCUGCCUUUAGGUGGGGGAUAACAGUUCGAAAGAACUGCUAAUACCGCAUAUGUGUGUAAUUCGACAGUUUUACACAUAAAAGGAGCAAUUUGCCUGAAGAUGAGUCUGCGUCCGAUUAGCUAGUUGGUAGGGUAAAGGCCUACCAAGGCGACGAUCGGUAGGUGGUCUGAGAGGAUGAUCACCCACAAUGGGACUGAGACACGGCCCAUACUCCUACGGGAGGCAGCAGUGGGGAAUUUUGUGCAAUGGGCGAAAGCCUGACACAGCGACACCGCGUGAGCGAAGAAGCCCUUUGGGGUGUAAAGCUCUGUCAGCUGGAACGAAAAAAAUGACGGUACCAGCAGAGGAAGCAUCGGCUAACUACGUGCCAGCAGCCGCGGUAAGACGUAGGAUGCAAGCGUUGUCCGGAUUUAUUGGGCGUAAAGAGUUCGUAGGUGGUUCGUUAAGUCUGAUGUUAAAGAUCAGGGCUCAACCCUGGGAGUGCAUUGGAUACUGGCGGACUGGAGUAUGGUAGAGGCUAGUGGAAUUCCCAGUGUAGCGGUGAAAUGCGUAGAUAUUGGGAAGAACACCGGUGGCGUAGGCGACUAGCUGGGCCAUAACUGACGCUGAGGAACGAAAGCCAGGGGAGCGAAUGGGAUUAGAUACCCUAGUAGUCC
rnacentral:rRNA from 1 species